GCAAGAGAGAGCAAACUGUGAAGAAUAUUUUUGCAGAUUAUCCUCCUACUGCAGAAGUUGAUCAUGCACUAGUGGGUUCGGCAUCAUCCCCUUUUACUGANAUGAUGGAUUAACAUCGAUGAAUAAGAACAUUUCUGAUUUGGAUUGGUUGAAUGGGAAAAGAUUUAGAGAGGAAUCUGAUAAAGAUCCACAUCCGAUUCACAAUUAUACUUCCCCACAAGAAAUUGAGGUUAUAGAUUUGUUAUCCCCAUCUUCAGGAUUCAAAAUUAGGUCAAGCAUAAAGAAGAGAAGAAUAUCUACUGUUUGUCCAGAGAUAAUCGACUUGACAUAGGCGCCUGAGUAAG
rnacentral:misc_RNA from 1 species